rnacentral:lncRNA from 1 species
AGGCCUAUACGUCUACAACACCUAUUGCACCUACUGAUUACCUACAACACGCCAGACCUAUGGCCUCGGGUUGAAAUUUAACCGGNGCCAAAGUGCUAUAUUACCUCGACUUUUAUGGGUAACCGAAGUCGUAUCCCUAUUUCAUUUAAUGAACUUAACCUACACACUUUGCAUUUGCGCAACAACUUCUUCCUUUGAGUUAGUCUCUCUUNUGCGGGUUCCUCCUCCACCGCCACUCCUUGGGUCAUCGCGCCACCCCUGUGCUGCUAUUGCUCUGCCUGCCACUGCUUGGUACCGUUCUAGGUCGCGCAUUCUCCGUUCGCCGUCACGCCAUUGGUGCCCUGCCACUGCUGCCUNCGGUGCUUCCGCCAACUACUCCACUACUCUGUCGUCGUUGUAGCCUCCGCCGCUGCUGCCUAUGCCACUACUACCUCCACUGUUGCUGCCUCCGCCGCUGCUGCCUCUACCAUUGUUGCCUCCAUCGGUGUUGCCUUCACCNCUGUUUCAAUCUUGCUGCCUGCAUUGAGGUUGGUUGGCAGAAAGAGAAGCAAAUUUUAUGUUUGGAUAGUUUUAUUUGUUGUGAUUGAUUGGUUGUUUG